AUUGAACGCUGGCGGCAGGCCUAACACAUGCAAGUCGAACGGAUGAGGCGUGCUUGCUCCUGGUUUCAGCGGCGCACGGGUGUGUAAUGCCUAGGAAUCUGCCUGGUAGUGGGGGAUAACGUCUGGAAACAGGCGCUACUACCGCCUACUUCCUGCGGGAGAUAGUGGGUGAUGUUCGGACCUCUCGCUCUCAGAUGAGCCUAGGUCGGAUUAGCUAGUUGGUGGGUUAGAGGCCUACCAAGCCGACGAUCCGUGACUGGUCUGAGAGGAGGGUUAGUCACACUGGAACGGAGACACGGUCCAGACGCCUGCGGGAGGCAGCAGACGGGAAUAGUGGACAGUGGGCGAAAGCCUGAUCCAGCCAGGCGGAGUGUGUGAAGAAGGUCUUCGGAGUGUGAAGCACGUUAAGGUGGGAUAAAGGGCAGUAGGUUGAUACCAUGCUGGAUUGACGUUACUAACAGAAUAAGCACCGGCUAACUUCGUG
rnacentral:rRNA from 1 species